GAACAUACCUUGAUUGUGUGAGUUGAACCCAUAUAUAUAGAGAAAUGGAUGGGAAGCGGGCCAAACGGAUUAGUGGGCCUAAGUCUGAGCCUAAUACGAGGUGAGCAAAAUAAUAGGCGCCUCGACAGGCGCUUCGGCUAGACUUCUAGGGCCUCGGCUGCGCCUCGGUUGGCCUUCUCAGAGCCUCGGCUUUGGGGCCCAACACUAAUGGGCCUAGCUCGGGUCCAAUAAGAUGACCCAAUAUGGAGUGAUAAUUCAUAGGCGUAACAGUAGUCCCCCAAGUCCGAGUCGUGUUAUUUAUAUGCGGGUUGGACUUGAAAUAUAACUCUCAAGUAGGCGAGGUCUUACAGAUUGCCUCAGAAAGAUGUGUCAGAAUAAGCGAGGACUUACGAAUUGCCUCGAAAGAUAUACUGCGCAUACUUUUUCAAAAUUUCGACAGCAUCUCCUCUGUAAUAUGGACUAAACCAAUCCUGUAAUACAAUACAAUAUAUCCACAGCACAUAUACCAAAUAAAUUUGGGGUCCAUUUGCCCCUUUAAAUGCUCAUAAGGUAACAUAUCGCAUUUCUCCAAGAUAUGUGCAGAGGGUCUGUCAUACAUUAUAAUAAAUCAUAUGCUCGCACAGCUCAAUGUAUCAGUAGUGCUAUAGUGAAGCAAGUAAUAUGAUGUCGACAAUAAAAUGAAAAUGAUGAUAACAUGGCAUGCGUAUUGGCUAUAAUGAAAUUAAUAAAUUACGUGCUAGUAAUAAUAUGGUAUUCGUGCUUCGAAGCAACAAUAUAGUGCGUAUGAUAUGGCAAUGAUAUGUAGUGAUACUGAGAUACUAGUAUUGCAAUAGUCCCCCAAGUUUGAGUCUAAUAUUCAUUUAUGCAAUGCGUGGACUUCAGUAAAGCCAUUGGGUUGGGUAAAAAUUGAAAGAAUUUUUGAAUUCCAAAUAAUAGUCCCCCAAGUCCAAGUAUAGAUAUUUAUAUAAUGGUUAAAGUUUGAGAAGUGCUGCUGUGGGUGAGCGAUGAAGUAGGCGAGGUGUUUGAAUUCUGAAGAUGAGCCGAGGUGGUUGAGUAGCCGAACCUGCGAGGCUUGUGAAGGCUGAAUUGUGAUGAAGCCGAGGUGGUUGAGAAACCGAACCUGCGAGGCUUGUGAAGGCUGAAUUGUGAUGAAGCCGAGGUGGUUGAGAAACCAAACUUGCGAGGCUUGUGAAGGCUAAAUUGUAAGGCUCAAGCUGCUGAGGCACCUACUGUCGAGGCACCUCCACCAUUGACUGGGCUUAGUUUAGUUCACUUUUCACUGUAAUCUAUCUUCACCACAUGCUGUUUUUCUCCGAAGUGUGCUGGCCUCGUUAAGCAAUUGAACUUAAUGUUGAUUGAAGAACUAAACAACUUUAACUUGGUACCUUAACUCCAAUCACUUAAAACAACUGAAUUGUAUGCAACUUUCUUGAGUUAUGACCAACAUUACUUAAGUAAAUGAACAACAGUGUGAGCCUCGAACUUAAGCAAAUGAACUUUACUUAAGCAUAAUAACUGUAACCUGAAGGGAUUCAAUGAAUGCUGUUGCAGUCGAACUUAAGCAUAAUAAUUGUAUGAGCCUCGGAAUUCACGUGAAGUGGCUUCUCCCAUUGGCGUUCAGCCUCGCCAGAAGGAGGCAUGUGCUAGCACCUCGGAGUUCAAGCGAGGUGGCCCAGAGAUGGGACGCGAGCCUCUCCUCCGAGGUGACGACGCAUCCCAGACAUGGUGAAUGGUGUAGCCAUGUUGGGGCUUCUCCCCUUGGCGCUCAGCCUGGCCAGAGGGAGGCAUGUGCUAGCGUCUCGGAGUUCAAGCGAGGUGGCCCAGAGACGGGACGCGAGCCUCUCCUCCGAGGUGACGACACAUCCCAAACAUGGUGGAUGGUGCAGCCAUGUUGAGGUAAUAUUAGCUCUCCGAAGAUAAGUAGAUGUAACAUGGCUGAGGCAGAGGCAAAAUUCUGAACUGAACAGCUGUACUGAUAACGAAGCAGAGGCUGACUGAACUGAACGUAGAUAGUUGUUAUGUAGAGGCGUGAUGACCUUUCUGAACAUAAGCGGGGCUAUAAUGCAGUAAUUCGUACAACAAGGCUUCUCAUGAAGUGGUGAACAAAUAUCUAGCUGGUGACCCGUGAUAGUGAAGGGUAAGGGAUAAUCAUCUCACGAAGCCAGGGAUGAACAUCUGGUGAACUGUCGAACUAUCGGAGUCUUAUAAGCUGGCCUCGGAUAGACGAGGGCUUAAAGCUAAGCUCGGCGAUAGUGAAACGCGAGGAAAAGACAUCUCGCGAAGCCAGGGAUGAACAUCUGGCGAACUAUCGGAGUCUUAUAAGCUGGCCUCGAAUAGACGAGGACUUAAGAGCUAAGCUCGGCGAUAGUGAAACGCGUGGAAAAGACAUCUCGCGAAGCCAGGGAUGAACAUCUGGCGAACUAUCGGAGUCUUAUAAGCUGGCCUCGAAUAGACGAGGACUUAGAGCUAAGUUCGGCGAUAGUGAGGCGGGGAAUAAGCAUCCCGCGAAUGAGGCCAAGAAAGGCUCCUUUUGCAAGGGCAAACACGUCUGACGAUUUGCCUCUUCCUUUUUUCAAGGAACGAGGACUCCAAAAUAUACCACCUAUUCCUUUAUUCAAGGAGCGAGGUACUCUAAGAUAUGUUGCCUUUGAUAAUAAGAUAUUCACAAGCUAAGGCUCGUCUUAAAUAAAUAAGAGAAUCGUGAG
rnacentral:lncRNA from 1 species